CCGCUUCAAGAAGCUGAGGUACGGGAGGUCCCUCCGCACCCCCUGGACAUCGUGGGGGCCCCGGCGUAUGCAGUGCGAUCCAUACUGGAUUCCAGGCCUCAGACGAUACUCAAAACAAAAUGCACGCCGAACUGGGAGCUGUGAACUGGGAAGCAGAUGUUCUUCUAAGGGACACCCUAGAGGCAGCAAGGUGAUGUGAACUCCAAACAUUUAAAGGCACUGUUUCCCUCCCUAGUGUAAUUGGGAUGGAAGGGGAAGACCGCAUUACAACCCUUAAAGAACUACAGUUGUAUGAUGGCCUGGAUGAAGAGAAAAAUGUUCUCCUCAAGGAACCAUUCAUGUUACAGAGAGAUUAUGAGUUGUUCUAUUUGGAGGCAGUUGACAACAAGAAAAUUACUGUCUUUGUCUCUUUUGAGGAGCAAAGCCAUUUUUGAGGAGUGGUUAAACUUUGUCUGCUGUGUUAAUUGUUUCAAUUGUUAAUUGUGUUGUUUAGUAAAGAUGACGUAGAAGUCAGCCGAGUCUGAUCUCUUUACUGGAGCUGGUAUAACUUAAUGUGCAAAGCACAUUCAGCUUGUCAGUAUAUCUAUAUGGUAUAGUCUGUCUCCAUUCUCAUGAGGAAAGUAAAUAACAUUAUAAAUCAGGAUGGGUAGUAACUGUGUGUAUAUAUGCUCAAUUAAAUAAUAUAAUUACAAAGUUAUAACAUUUAUCAACACAAUUUUAACAGUACAUAACAAGUCUGCUGUUCACUGCAACAAUUUCAGUAGUUUGUCUCAAAUAUAGUAUGACGCAAAAAGUGUUACAUCUGCUGGUACUUUAUAUAAUAUUUCUUACAAUCUUCAAAAAUGAAAUAUGUUUUUAUUCAACUUGUGCCUUGCGCAAAUGAGUGUUACUGUCAAACAUCAGAUGGACAAUAAAAAGGUGGGCAGGGUCAAAUGUGGGCAGAGUCAAACGUUUGACUCCGCCCACAUUGAACCCAGCCCCGAACUGCACACUGCAGUCAGGGGUACGUGGACUUGCUUGCUAGUUGAGAUUUCUGCUCUUCACUCCAUUGUCAGUUUAGCCUACAUUUCACUGAUCUUAGUAGCAGAAAGUAUUUUUUAUAUGUGUCCUUCAAGGCAGCUGUCAAUGAUCACGUUAGGCUGCGUUUCAUUUGAUUUGUUAUGGCGGUUUGAUCGCGGAGGAGGCACUAGUAAUGUCUGCAGUUUUCGGUUUGUCAUUUUGUUUCAAGUGUAU